rnacentral:rRNA from 1 species
AUGGAGGCGGCCGCGGGACUCGCGAUGCAGUCGCGGGCGGUCGGGGCCGGGCGCCGGAGCGGGGCUCUCGGCGGGGACAGGCCGGCGCGGGCGGCGACCCUGCGCGUCGGAGGCCCGGCCGCCGCGCCGGCGCUGCGGGUUCGCGGGGCCAGGCCCGUCGCCCCGCUCUGCUGCGUCCAGACAUCCAGAGGUCAUCAGAGCUUGCAUAACUCAGUCGACGAAGCCCUCUUGCUAAAGAGGAAAGCAGAAGAAGUUCAGUUUGAAUUGAAUGGGCGGUGUAUUUACCUAGUUGGAAUGAUGGGCUCCGGAAAGAGCACGGUGGGCAAGAUAUUAGCCGAAGUCUUGGGUUAUUCAUACUUUGACAGUGAUAGUUUGGUAGAACAGGCAGUCGGAAUGCCUUCCGUUGCUCAAAUAUUCAAGGUUCACAGUGAAGCAUUUUUCAGAGACAGUGAGAGUAGUGUCUUGAGAGAUUUAUCCUCAAUGCAUCGGCUAGUUGUUGCUACUGGAGGCGGUGCUGUUAUUCGGCCAGUUAACUGGAGAUAUAUGAAGAAAGGUCUGUCUAUCAUGUUGGAUGUGCCUUUGGAUGCGCUUGCGAAGCGAAUUGCACAAGUUGGGACUGCUUCUCGGCCCCUUCUAGAUCAGCCAUCUGCUGAUCCAUACACAGCGGCUUUCACGAAACUCAGCCUGCUCGCUGAGCAAAGAGGGGAUGCUUACGCAAACGCCGAUGUGAGGGUUUCUCUUGAAGAGCUUGCAGCUAAAAAGGGUCAUGAUGAUGUCUCUCAGCUAACCCCAACUGAUAUUGCUGUCGAGGCCCUACAAAAGAUUAAGAAUUUUGUCACUGAGCAUUCCAUGGCCAGUGGCCCAUUCGACGACUUAUAA